UACGGAGGGUGCAAGCGUUGUUCGGAAUUAUUGGGCGUAAAGCGCGCGCAGGCGGUUGCUUUAAGUCUGGUGUAUAAGUGCGGGGCUCAACCCCGUGAGGCACUGGAAACUGGGCAGCUUGAGUGCAGAAGAGGAGAGCGGAAUUCCGACGUGUAGCGGUGAAAUGCGUAGAGAUGUGGAGGAACACCAGUGGCGAAGGCGGCUCUCUGGUCUGUAACUGACGCUGAGGCGCGAAAGCGUGGGGAGCGAACAGG
rnacentral:rRNA from 1 species